AUCCCUUUUCUCUCAUCAAUGCGUGGCUCUGUCUUUUUCGUCCCUCCCCCCUCCCCCUCUAUCCUUCCCCCCAUCUAAUGGCACUAGACAAUCACAAUGAUUGAUGAUUAUUAACAUCCUGUCUUCUAUCGUGUCGGUGAUUGCCCGUAGCGAAGAACGUAUAAACCGGGUAUCAGUAACGCGUAGUGGAACACGAAUGUUACUGGAAUGAUCAAAUAUGUACAUACAUUAUCCUGCGUGUUAUAUUUUGAAAUUUCAUUGGCAGUGUGACGGUAUUCGUGUUGGCAUUUUACAUGACACGCACAAUAUAUAUACGUAUAUGGAUGUUGGUAAAAUGUUCUGCGUAAAUAUCUACGAUAGUUACUCUAAAGUUUGUCUGAAGUAAUUUUCAAAAAUCUAUGUAUUGAUGCUUCAUAAAAGUUAGCUGAGUAAAAAAGUAAUUUUUUAUGUAAAGUGAUGAAGUAAUUUUAAAAAAUCUAUGCAUUGAUGCGUCAUAAAAGUUAGCUGAGCAAAAAAGUAAUUUUUUAUCUAAAGUUACUCUAAAGUUUAUCUAAAGUAAUUUUCAAAAAUCCAUGUAUUGAUGCUUCAUAAAAAUUAGCUGAGUAAAAAAGUAAUUUUUUAUGUAAAGUAAUGAAGUAAUUUUUAAAAAUCUAUGCAUUGAUGCGUCAUAAAAGUUAGCUGAGCAAAAAAAUAAUUUUUUAUCUAAAGUUACUCUAAAGUUCAUCUAAAGUAAUUUUCAGAAAUCUUUGUAUUGACGCGUCAUAAAAGUUAGCUGAGCAAAAAAGCAAUUUUUUAUCUAAAGUUACUCUAAAGUUUAUCUAAAGUAAUUUUCAAAAAUCUAUGCAUUGAUAUGCAUCAUUAAAAAUUAGCUGAGUAAAGAAAGAAACAGAAAUAUGAAUUACUUAGAUUAGCGAAGUUAGUGACAAUUAAUGAUACACUAUUUGUUGAUUAUUUAACUUUAUGACCUCAAAUUUUCCGAAGAUAUUUUAGCGAAUCUUCAGAACGUUAUAAAACUAGAUGACUCUAGUGCGGCAUUUGAUAGUCGAACAAGAUAACGGUGUCGAGUGGGCAGGAAAUACAAGAUUCCAAUUUUCCGGCUCGCGUUUCCGGAUUCGAAGCGGUGUGUAGGUACACAGUUUGACAUAACUGUGUGAAACUUUGCCCAGUUUUGAAGUUGGAAAAAGAUUUCAAGUGUCUUUAAUACUGCACUGCGGUGGACGAUCUUCAGGUGUUUGGGGAGAGGGGAAAACCUAAACGGUAGAAAGGGAAUGGUGAAAAGGUUGGGUUGGCUGUGUGCGUUUGCCAUUUGGAUACAGGAACGCAGUUAUUAAUCGACGUUCAGCAGGAGGGAGAUUAGAGUGAAAAAUAAAUAUUUCAUAAUGAACAUUAUAUUUUGGACGUCGCUGCGCCUCGCAAACAGUUUCUAAUCUGUUGACCGCGCGUAAAUCUUCUUCAACAAUGAUAACGGCCAAUGAUGCUUAAAGAGAGAAAACAGAUUUCGCGUGUCGUAACAUCACGUUCGUGAAUGUAUCGCGCGGCUAAAUGUAUAACAUUUUGGCCGCGCGUUCUCGAGUCACACUCUCCGUUGUGUUAUGUAGUUCGUUUAUCGAACCUCCGGACAGAGCUUCUUCUUUUCUUUUUUAUCCGUACAAUGGAUUUCGCAAGACUGGCGUUUGUUGUCUGUUUUUAUUGAGGAAAGGAAAGUGGAGCACGAUGAAACGGCAACGCGUAAUAAUUUAGUUACUGGAACAAUAUAUGGUCAUUAAUACCGAAAAGGGAGGAUUGAAAAAGAAAUCAUCGGGGUUUUACUUCCUGCAGGCGACGCAGGAACUUUAAGCUUGAAUCUCUAAAAAGUCGGCCAGGGGAGGCUAAAGUCGCAUUAUUUCGCAAGCGAUUUAAAUCCUGACCUUCGUCCGUCGUUUUUCUGUGUAAAAAGCGGCGAGACUACUCGAGAUCCGUUUUCUACGAUUUCUGAAAUAACACGUGAACGCUUAUCGAUGCAUUGAUAGUUUUCGGAUUUGAUAAAGGUUGGCAAACAUCUACGCAAACAUCCACGCACUUGAUAUUACAAUUAUCUCAAGGUUACGCUGAUACCGGGUGGCAAACAUCACUGAAAUCGCCUAUUUAUUUCGAUUUGCGUGCGUAUAAUUCGUUGUACAAAGUUGAGUGCCCAACUGCGAUUGGUCUCGCCGGCGAAUCAAUUAUCGGCUCUGGGGAGAUCUGCCGCGAAGAACACACCGCAUUGCCGUAGCCGUUUUCUGCGCAAGUCGCCAGUUUUUCUCAAUAUAAGGCACAACAUUCGGUUGUAACCGGAUACUUGCGACUCUGUAAACGAGUCCGGUUUCUUUUCAAGCGUGAUACGUUCAGCCAUGCUGGACUUGUAAUUUCGACUUAACGUAGCUCGAUAAAUGAUCACCUGUAUCGGGUGAUUAUGUAACGAAGUUAAUUGUAUCGAUAAAAAUUAUUCUUGAUUGUGAUAAAGGCAAUUUUGAAAUUAAAGUAGGGAUGGAAAGAAUUAACUCUUGCCUUGCGAUUUUUGUAGCUACAAUUUUUUGAACUGAAACGUACUAUUUAAAGUACAGUCCAUAAAGUCUCUUUACAAUUUCAAAAAUUUAUUACAAAGGCAAAUGAAAAGACAGAUAAGUGGAAAUUAUUACGAAGCGAGACGGCAUAACUUUGCCAGCGUGUUCUACAAGCAAAAGUAAGAAAAAAAUGUUACACGAACAUAUGCUCUUAAAUGUUUUAUUAAGGAAUUAUAACUAAUAACACAAAAUGAUAAUGAACUGGUGUUUCAAUACAGCGUAUACGUUCGUCGACGUAUCAUCAGUGUUACAGAAACUCACAUAAUCACAUUGAAGCUCUGUAUUUACUAACAAAACUAAAUCCAACAAAACAGUAGACCUUCUUCUUUAUGUAAUAACAUUUCAAAAUGAAGUCCGUUAUUACGAAUACAGGAUUGGCAUCUAACAAAAAUCGACUCUAUCGCAUUAUUAAUGUCUUCCACAUUUUCUCUAAUCGCAGCAAAUGCGUCAUUAAUCCUCUGUACUAACUACUCACGAGUUAAUUUGUGCUUCAUAAACUUUUGCUUUCACAAUUCCUCACACGUAAAAACUCAUUGGCGUGAUGAUCUUGGAGACCAUGAGAUUGGUCCUUCUCGACCUAUCCAUCGUUGUGGAUAAUGGUCAUUUAUUAUUAUUAUUGGUACUGCGUAAUGUAUUGAACAACGUUUAAUUGAAUCCAUAAGUUUUGUCGAAGUAAUAAUGGAGUAUCUCCUGCUACUUCUGUUUCAAAUUCGUUUUCUAAGAAAUCCAAAAAAGACUGUGCCGUUAAUUUACCAUCUAUCCGGUAAAAAAUGAGGUACUAAACAUUAUUAGCUCAGAAAUUAGUGAUGAUAUCAAUUACUUCAUCAAGAAAACAAGAAUUUAUGUAAAUACAAAUAGAUAUUCAUAAUACGUUGUGUCGACGAAAUGCUAGUUCAUUAUCAUUUUGUAUUAUUAGUUAUAAUUCCUUAAUAAAACAUUUAAGUUUAUAUGUUCAUAUAACAUUUUUUUCUUACUUUUGCUUCUAUGACACGCUGGCAAAGUUAUGCCGGAAAAAACUGGGACAUCCUGUAUAUAUUCAAGUUUUUUUCUUUUUUGCCUCAUUUAAUACAUCUUUGUAUAGGCACCAUUAGUUGCACAAAGCACAUUAAGACAGUACUCGUCUAUUUUCAUCAGAUGUUCUUGGUCGUCCACUCCUCCCUUUAUCGAACACUGUUCCUGUCUCCAUAAAUUUCUUGUGCCAUGCACGAAU